AAGCGUGCGCAGGCGGUUUUGUAAGACUGUCGUGAAAUCCCCGGGCUCAACCUGGGAAUGGCGAUGGUGACUGCAAGGCUAGAGUUUGGCAGGAGGGGGGUAGAAUUCCACGUGUAGCAGUGAAAUGCGUAGAUAUGUGGAGGAACACCGAUGGCGAAGGCACGCCCCCUGGGUCAAAACUGACGCUCAUGCACGAAAGCGUGGGGAGCAAACAGGAUUAGAUCCCGAGU
rnacentral:rRNA from 1 species